UGGGGAAUAUUGCGCAAUGGGCGAAAGCCUGACGCAGCGACGCCGCGUGAGGGAUGAAGGUUUUCGGAUCGUAAACCUCUGUCAGAAGGGAAGAAACCGCACUGUGCUAAUCAGCAGUGCCUUGACGGUACCUUCAAAGGAAGCACCGGCUAACUCCGUGCCAGCAGCCGCGGUAAUACGGAGGGUGCAAGCGUUAAUCGGAAUUGCUGGGCGUAAAGCGCACGUAGGCUGCUUUGUAAGUCAGGGGUGAAAUCCCACGGCUCAACCGUGGAACUGCCUUUGAUACUGCUUAGCUUGAAUCCGGGAGAGGGUGGCGGAAUUCCAGGUGUAGGAGUGAAAUCCGUAGAUAUCUGGAGGAACAUCAGUGGCGAAGGCGGCCACCUGGACCGGUAUUGACGCUGAGGUGCGAAAGCGUGGGGAGCAAACAGG
rnacentral:rRNA from 1 species